rnacentral:rRNA from 1 species
GGUAAUUUAGUCUUAUACUCACUAUUAAUGGAUCAUAAACCUAUUCAUCAAUAUUACUAAUCAAGAAGAGUUUAUUUUAUCUCCCCGUCACCCCAACCAAACAAUUUUAAGUAAAACCCAACCCUACCCUAAAUAGAUUUAUUACCCAUAAUUGUCAAACUCUAUAGGGUCUUCUCGUCCUCCAAUCUUAUUUAAGCCUUUUGACUAAAAAGUUAAAUUAUACCACAAUCUCCAUGAGACAGUAAACACCUCGUCCAACCAUUCAUACCAGCCCCUAAUUAAGAGACUAAUGAUUAUGCUACCUUUGCACGGUCAAAAUACCGCGGCCCUUCAAUUUUCAGCGGGCAGGCUAGACCUCCUACAUUUACAAGAAGCGAUGUUUUUGAUAAACAGGCGAGCAUCCAUUUGCCGAAUUCCUUACAGAGACCUUCCUAUAUUAAUUAACUAUUACAUUCCACUAUAUUAAUUUCAUCAUUAUUACCCAUUGUCUUCUAUUACCAAUGACACUUUGAUAUAUAAACUAAACCCAUUAAAAUUAAACCGCCCCUAAGUAAACUAUAACGUUAUUAUUUGAUGACUGAUUUCAAGUCUACCCCCUUAAGUAACUAAAUCUGUUAUAGUUCUGUCCUUAAGCUUAUCCCUCAAGACAUUAGCAAUUAACCCCUAAAUCAAUUAUCACUAAUCAAAAUAACACUAUUGCCUGAAUUAAAUUCAUUUCUCAAAGAACUAGAAACCUAUAAAUUCGCCUAACAUUUCAUUUCUAAAGAAGUAUGUUUAAGAAAUUUGCCAUUUUAACUAAAUUACCUCUUUAGCCCACUUAAAAUCGAGAAAACAAAAUCUUUCACUCCAUUUAAUAAACCCUGAUACACAAGGUACAACACUAAAUCUACUUUUCAUUAAAUUACUUUUCACUUAUUUCACCCUUCCUUCUCAGUACUACCCUUAUUACUUACUUUAUGAUUUCAUUACCCAAUACUCCCACUAAUCUCUUAAUAUUGAUUUACCCAGUCAAUUUAAAUUCACUAACCCUAUCAAUUAUGUUACCUCUCAAAAUAAAUUGAAUUGCACAAUAACUUCUCAAUGUAAAUGAAAUGCUUUACUCCUCAAGCUCUA